AAAAAUGUUUCCUCAGGAAAGAGACACACAGAGAGAGAGAGAAAGAGAGAAAGAGAGAACCCACCUACCUGUUUUGCAAAAGUCUCAUGAAUCAUCCCUUCCUGUGGUCCUGCUCCCUGAGAUCCUUUCACCGCUCACAGUGGGCUACUUCUAAGAGCGUGCCUGGCACAGGGUCACUGAGAGCAUAGUCUUAAUAAAACAAUGAUGGAUGCUUGUCUCUCUCACUGGGUGCCAUGCACUUUGAUCAGAAGCUUUAAGAAUGUUUUCCUCCACUGUCUAGUCACAGCCGUAUUAAAUUACACAAGGCAUGGGAAGAGGCAUAAUCUGUUGAUGAUAAAUCAGAAUUAAUGAGAGUUUAACAAGCCUGCUAAAUACUAAGUCAAUGUAAAAAAUCAAUUGUAAGCCCAUCUAUCAGAAAAACACUAUUAGCAAGCAAAAUUUACAUUUUUACUGCUUAACAUAGCAUCCCAAAUAUCAAGUACCUAGCAACAAAUCUAACGAAAGAUAUGCAAGACUUAUAGAGAAAACAGCAACAGCAACAACUUUGUUUAGAUACAUUAGCGAAGAUCUCAUUACAUGGAGACAUACACUAUGCUCAUGGACUGGAAGACUCCAUAUGGAAGAUGCCAAUUCACAUCUCAGAAUCUCAGCAGGUGUUGCAAAGAACCUGAAAAUUUGUUUUAAAAAUUCAUGUCAAAAUGCAAAGGUCCUACAAUUGCCAAAGAAAAAUAGGGAGGGAGGACCACCUGAUAUCAGCGGUGAUUAUAAAACAAUAAUAAAUGUGAUACCUUGCCUUAAGUCUGGGGAUAGACAAAUAGACGAGGGGCGCAGGUUGGAGAAUCCAGAAACUGACCCAUGAAUACAUUGACACUUGAUAUAUGACAGAAAUGGCCCCCAAAGCCAUGGGUGUCUGGGCAUAUAGUAUCCAUACAGAAAAAAUAUGAACUAUCUUCAAUAAG
rnacentral:lncRNA from 10 species